CCCAGACUCCUACGGGAGGCAGCAGUGGGGAAUAUUGCACAAUGGGGGAAACCCUGAUGCAGCGACGCCGCGUGAGCGAUGAAGUAUUUCGGUAUGUAAAGCUCUAUCAGCAGGGAAGAAGAUGACGGUACCUGACUAAGAAGCCCCGGCUAACUACGUGCCAGCAGCCGCGGUAAUACGUAGGGGGCAAGCGUUAUCCGGAUUUACUGGGUGUAAAGGGGGCGCAGACGGCGAUGCAAGCCAGGAGUGAAAGCCCGGGGCCCAACCCCGGGACUGCUCUUGGAACUGCGUGGCUAGAGUGCAGGAGGGGCAGGCGGAAUUCCUGGUGUAGCGGUGAAAUGCGUAGAUAUCAGGAGGAACACCGGUGGCGAAGGCGACUAUCUGGCACAUAACUGACGCUGAGGAGCGAAAGCGUGGGGAGCAAACAGGAUUAGAUACCCCAGUAUA
rnacentral:rRNA from 1 species